UGGAAACUGGGCUCUGAGACGUCACGGAGACCGAAAGUCUGUCUGACAGGCACCGAGAGGGCAGACGCGAAGCAUGAUGGGGCGGUGGCGGACCCCAGUAGCUCCAACUCCUACCACGUGGUAUGGUACCGGGCACGCGCCCAGCAGGUAGAGCGCCUGCUGGGUUUGCAUGAAGUAAGCCGUGGGUCGAUUCCCAGGACAGCAGAAACCAGGUAUGGUGGUGCACACCAGCCAGUCAGCACUCUGGAGAUGGAAGGAGGAGGCUCAGGAGUUCGAGGCCAUCCUUACAGCAAAUUUCAGCGUUCUGCCUGCAGACCAGAAGAGGACACUGCAUCUCACUAUAGAUGGUUGUGAGCCACCGGGUGGGUGCUGGAAACUGAACUCUGGACCUUUGGAAGAACAGUCAGAGCUCUUAACCUCUGAGCCAUCUCUCCAGCCCCUCGUCGUUUCUUCUUUGAACAUGACUAUUUAACAAACCACAACCAACAACAACCAACAGCCCAUUAACCAACCCCUCAUCUUCUCAGGCCCUAGCAUUUAUGUACCCUCUGAAAAGACCCCAGAAUUCCAAAGGUCACACAGUCGCAGAAACUAUCUGCCUCUGGCAAAUAAAUAAAUAAACAAACCUAGCGCUCCUAGAGCACAAGGCAAAUCAUAGUCACCUGCUGUGAAACAUCCCCAUACACCCAUCCCUGGGAUUAAAAC